rnacentral:rRNA from 1 species
UACAUGGGGUGCAAACGUUGCUCGGAAUUAUUGGGCGUAAAGCGCACGUAGGCGGUUCGUUAAGUCGGAUGUGAAAGCCCUCGGCUCAACUGAGGAAGUGCACCCGAAACUGGCGAGCUUGAGUACGAAAGAGGAUCGCGGAAUUCCCGGUGUAGAGGUGAAAUUCGUAGAUAUCGGGAGGAACACCGGGUGGCGAAGGCGGCGAUCUGGGUCGAUACUGACGCGUGAGGUGCGAAAGCGUGGGGAGCAAACAGG